GAAUGGCUGUGGCUCAGGUGUAGAGCAUCUGUUUUGCAUGCAGAAGGUCUCAGGUUCAAUCCCUGGUGUCUUCC